GGGGAUUUGGCUCAGUGGUAAAGCGCUUGCCUAGCAAGCACAAGGCCCUGGGUUCGGUCCCCAGCUCCG
rfam:Rattus norvegicus chromosome 10, whole genome shotgun sequence.